AUACGGCGAAAACUGCGAAUGGCUCAUUAUAUAAGUUAUCGUUUAUUUGAUAGCACCUUACUACUUGGAUAACCGUGGUAAUUCUAGAGCUAAUACAUGCUAAAAAUCCCGACUUCGGAAGGGAUGUAUUUAUUAGAUUAAAAACCAAUGCCCUCUGGGCUCUCUGGUGAUUCAUGAUAACUUCUCGAAUCGCAUGGCCUUGCGCCGGCGAUGGUUCAUUCAAAUUUCUUCCCUAUCAACUUUCGAUGUUUGGGUAGUGGCCAAACAUGGUUGCAACGGGUAACGGAGGGUUAGGGCUCGACCCCGGAGAAGGAGCCUGAGAAACGGCUACUACAUCCAAGGAAGGCAGCAGGCGCGCAAAUUACCCAAUCCCGACACGGGGAGGUAGUGACAAUAAAUACUGAUACAGGGCUCUUUUGGGUCUUGUAAUUGGAAUGAGUACAAUUUAAAUCCCUUAACGAGGAACAAUUGGAGGGCAAGUCUGGUGCCAGCAGCCGCGGUAAUUCCAGCUCCAAUAGCGUAUAUUAAAGUUGUUGUGGUUAAAAAGCUCGUAGUUGAACCUUGGGCCUGGCUGGCCGGUCCGCCUCACCGCGUGCACUGGUCCGGCCGGGCCUUUCCCUCUGUGGAACCCCAUGCCCUUCACUGGGUGUGGCGGGGAAACAGGACUUUUACUUUGAAAAAAUUAGAGUGCUCCAGGCAGGCCUAUGCUCGAAUACAUUAGCAUGGAAUAAUGAAAUAGGACGUGCGGUUCUAUUUUGUUGGUUUCUAGGACCGCCGUAAUGAUUAAUAGGGACAGUCGGGGGCAUCAGUAUUCAAUUGUCAGAAGUGAAAUUCUUGGAUUUAUUGAAGACUAACUACUGCGAAAGCAUUUGCCA
rnacentral:rRNA from 1 species